rnacentral:sRNA from 1 species
UUUUAGCCCCGAUUGCAGCGGAAAUCCUUUUAUGGAAUGCAAUGAAGUAAAAGAUUGCAGUGGAAAGCGGGAAAUAGC